ensembl:misc_RNA 7SK 7SK RNA
GGAUGUGUGGGCAAUCUGGCCAUGACACUGGUCAGCCCCUGGAUCUCCAGGGUUGAUUCAGCUGACCUGACUAGCUAGGCGGAUGUCCCUUUCCUCCUUCGCCACUCCACGUGUGCCCUCCCAAAGCUGUGUGCUCAGCUGAAGAGGACAACCACUCCCAAUAAAGGAAGACCAGUUCCUCCGUCAAGGAUAGAUGUGCUCCCUUGCUAGAACCUCCAAACAAGCUCUCAAGAUGUCCACUAGCCAGGAUUGAUACCUCAUAAAGCUGAGAAAACUUAUUCAGUCUUCAUGUCCGAUUUUUUGGAGUACUUA